rnacentral:lncRNA from 1 species
UGUUGGAAAAUAAGGGUAAAGCUCCCGAAAUUCCAAAAACUUCUUCUUGCCUGCAGUGCUUCAAUUGUAAAGGCUUUGGUCAUAUCGCAUCUAGAUGUCCUAGUCGAGCUUUAGUCAUUGAGGAAUGAAAAGAUGUAGAAGGUAAGUCAUUAGAAGAUCAAGUCUAUGAACCUAAGUUUGAAGAGUUUGACGAUUUGGAUGAUAUUGAUGAUACCUUGUUAGGUUGCAUCCGAACCUUCCCUAUAGAUCUAGAUUCUGUGACCUCUGUCCCUGACACC